rnacentral:other from 21 species
CAAGACGAUCCGGUACGGAUAACUGACGCUCUACAUAAUUAAGGUCAUUAACCUUGAAUAAUUGAGGGAUGACCUCAUUUAAUCUCCAGUAGCAAUUUUGACCUGUUAUGGGAGGAGUUAUGCGUCUGGAUCGUCUUAC